UUAAAGAGUACAUACUAUAAGCAUUAAGGGAAAAAUACUGUGGAGCUACAGUCAGAAAAACACAAGACUCAGCAGUAGCCCCAACAUUAAAAGAACACAGGUCUUAGAAAGAACAAGGCUUUCAACCAUGAGUAAUAUAUCCAGAAAGGAUGAGCAUAAGUAUAAAAAGGAAAACCUCAUCUAUGGCUCUUGGGAAUAGCAUCAUUGCUUGGCUAUUUUGAAUGUACAUAUAUGGAUCGAAGACUUGAGGUGGAGAUGAUUGCAGUGAAUUGAACUGAAUUAGUAGUGGAAUAAACCCAGUGGAACUGGGAUGGAAUGAAUAUCUCAUAUGGAAGAGGAAUGAGUGAAGGAACUACCACAGAGAAGGAGAGAAAUGUGAAGGAAGGAGAAGAGGUCUGGAAGUAUGAAAAACAUAUUCUCAUCAUGAAGAAAGAAAAACAUACACAAUUAGAAGGAAAUGAAAACAUUGGAAAUACAAAAAAGGAAAACAUAUGAAGAUAUGAAAAGAAAACAAAAUUGUUCUGCCCGAUGAAUUACUAAUGGUGCUCCCAACAGUAGAAGACUGGAACCAAGUUGAAUUACUUCAGAGACAAAGAAAUGAAGCCAUAUGUUCAAGUAAAUGAGAAUUUGAAAGUGCAAAUUCUAUGCAACCCUUUGAAAAUUAGGAACAAACUUUUUUUCCUGUUCUCCCAUCAUCAUCCCUUGUUUUUUAAUUGUGAAUAGUCUAUUGUUUGUGUAGAAGUAGAACUAGGACAAAGUGGAACUGGAACAUUGUUCCAAGGCACCACAUUUGAACCCAGAGGUGAUAGGAAACCAAGAUGAUGCAAUUAAACCUACUCUAUCAGUUUUGGACCACUUCACAUCCUCUGAUCAAUAACAGAGUCAAAUCUAUUCCAUUCCAUUAGUAUUUAUUAAAUGUUUAUAAUUUACAUGGCACUUGCUGUGGAUAUUGGGGAUGGGUAUAGGGACUAGUACUGUGAUUUCAUUACAAGAAAGAACCUGAUAAAGAAAUUACUUUGACCAACACUUUUCUUCAACUAGGUCUUAUGGAAUUGAUCAAAACACUGAGAAUUAAACUGUAUCUGAA